rnacentral:rRNA from 1 species
GCGACAGGCCUAACACAUGCAAGUCGAGGGGCAGCACAAGGAGCAAUCUGAGGUGGCGACCGGCGCACGGGUGAGUAACACGUAUGCAACCUGCCUGUAAGCGGGGAAUAACCCGUUGAAAGACGGACUAAUACCGCAUAAUACUAAAUACUGCAUGGUAAUUUAUUUAAACAUUUAUGGCUUACAGAUGGGCAUGCGCAUGAUUAGCUAGUUGGAGAGGUAACGGCUCCCCAAGGCAACGAUCAUUAGGGGUUCUGAGAGGAAGGUCCCCCACACUGGUACUGAGACACGGACCAGACUCCUACGGGAGGCAGCAGUGAGGAAUAUUGGUCAAUGGACGAGAGUCUGAACCAGCCAAGUCGCGUGCAGGAAGAAUGUCCUUAAUGGAUUGUAAACUGCUUUUGCAGGGGAAUAAAGUGCAUCACGUGUGAUGUUUUGUAUGUACUCUGCGAAUAAGGAUCGGCUAACUCCGUGCCAGCCGCAGC